UUGCCUACACUACCACUUUUCUAAGUUUUCUUAGCAAAAAUACCACUUUUCUUAAUUCUUUUCUCCCAUCCCACUUUCCUAAAUAGAAAAAGACACUUUUGCCCUCUUUUUUUCUCCACAAAACAACAAAUAUAUUCCUUCCCCUUUUCUCUUUCAUAUCGAUUCAAGCUCUCUCUUUAUCUUCUUUUUUUUUUUUUUUCUUUUUUUCUCUCUCUCACUCCAAAACAAGAUCCAAAAACUAGACAAAAAUUGUUUAGAUAUAAGUUUUGUUUCCAAUUUUUUCCAUCUCUUUGCAUCCCACCAACAUCUUCUUCUCUUCUACAGUUCUACAUCAUUAUUAUGAAGUGUUUGUUGUCUACGAGGGAACCCAAAGACGAAGAUGUCUACUAGAAAACUAAAACUGAAGACGAAGAAAAAGAUGUCUACGAAAAAAGAACAAAAUGUCUUCUAAAAAACCGAAAAUGUUCAUUGUCCAUUAUUCUUAUGUCAAUCAACAUAUAUUGUCUAUUAUUCUUAUGUCAAUCAACAUAUAUUGUCUACUAUUCUUAUGUAUACUCACCACUCCCUUUUUGUCCAUGUCAAGUAGAUAUUACAGAUUUAUUUGUAUUUGUUUUAUAAUAUAAAUAUAUACAUUUGUAAUA